rnacentral:tRNA from 2 species
GUUUAUAGUUUAACGGUAAAACAAUCGCCUUUUAAGCGAUUAAGUUUGGGUUCAAAUCCCAA